rnacentral:rRNA from 1 species
GACGAACGCUGGCGGCGUGCCUAAUACAUGCAAGUCGAACGCUGAUUUUCUAACUAAUGCUUGCAUUGACUUGAAAAUCGGAGUGGCGAACGGGUGAGUAACACGUGGGUAACCUGCCUAUCAGAGGGGGAUAACAUUUGGAAACAAGUGCUAAUACCGUAUAACCAUGAUGACCGCAUGGUCAUGAUGUAAAAGGUGGUUUUGCUAUCGCUUUUGGAUGGACCCGCGGCGUAUUAACUAGUUGGUAAGGUAACGGCUUACCAAGGUGAUGAUACGUAGCCGAACUGAGAGGUUGAUCGGCCACAAUGGGACUGAGACACGGCCCAUACUCCUACGGGAGGCAGCAGUAGGGAAUCUUCCACAAUGGGCGCAAGCCUGAUGGAGCAACGCCGCGUGAAUGAAGAAGGUCUUCGGAUCGUAAAGUUCUGUUAUUAGAGAAGAACACGUGUAAGAGUAACUGAUUAUGCGUUGACGGUAUCUAAUCAGCAAGUCACGGCUAACUACGUGCCAGCCGCCGCCGUAAUAC